CUUGUUCUUUAAAUGAGGACUCGUAUCAACGGCAUCACGAGGAUCCUACUGUCUCCCCCCUCUAAUCGGUGAAACUGAUCUCUCCGUGAAGAAGCGGAGAUGUACAUAUAAGACGAGAAGACCCCAUGGAGCUUUAAACCCAACAACACCCGCCCCCCUCCAAAUCCUAUUAUUUACCCGGUGAUUGUUUGUUUGGUUUUAGGUUGGGGUGACCGCGGAGUAUAAGAUAUCCUCCAUGAAAAAAAGCUAACUGCCCUUAUUAGAGAAAGACACUUCCAAAAAAUAAUAAAUUAAUUUUAAAUGAUCCGACAUUCGAUCAACGAACCAAGUUACCCUGGGGAUAACAGCGCAAUCCGUCCCGAGAGCCCCUAUCGACAGGCGGGUUUACGACCUCGAUGUUGGAUCAGGGUAUCCCAGUGGUGCAGCAGCUACUAAAGGUUCGUUUGUUCAACGAUUAAAACCCU
rnacentral:rRNA from 1 species